GUUCAGCUUCUUCUAUUGUCUUAAGUUCUAAGUGAGAAACAAAAGCUAUAUAAUUAUAUACAUCUCUAAGAGAAGAUCGAAUUCUUACUCCUUAUGUCAGAUCACCAAUGAUUAAUUCUUUAGGGUGAUUAUAGACAUACCUCCAUUCUUUUGGAAGAUCACUUAUACCUUAAGAUUGUUCUUGAACAUUUUGAUCAUUGAUGUUCUCAUCCUCAUGCUUUUCCUCC
rnacentral:lncRNA from 1 species